AUGGCUUGAGGGUGAGUAAAGCUUGGGCUAAUUUUCAUUUUAAAGUGAACUAAUCCUUUAAAUGAAAGCUGUCACACCCCCUCAAAUGCAAUAAAUCUUUAAAAUAGCUUUGUAACCAUUCAUAUACUCAAAUAAGGAUCACAGAUCAAUUCAACCUUACUUGUUUUUGGCACAAUCAUAUAGUCAUAAUAGCAGUUCAUGUGACUAGAUCUUUCUUGUCUUCUUGAAAUUCAUUGUCAGAUGUUCUCAGAGAGGAGGGACUCAGAGUUCACAGAUCUGACAUGAUCUAAUCGUGUCUGAAAGAGACUGUGGAUGAAACGAUUCAGUCUGACUCUUCUCAGAGUGAACACUUGAACAAUGAAUCUUCAUUCACUUAUUCUGCUCUGUGUCUCAGCAGCUGCUGUAUUUGGAAAUGUCAUCAAACCGAACAAAACAGAUGUUUUUGCUGAGGAGGGUUCAAGUGUUAUAAUAUCCUGUAGUUUUUCUGCCUCUGGAGCUCAAGAUUAUCUCUUCUGGUACCGUCAGUAUGAAAGAUCAAAACCUGAAUUUCUUGUUUCUACCUUAAGAACUGAAAAAAAGCCUCAAGUAUCUGAUGUAGAUCCAAGAUUCACUGUUAAAGUUGAAAAAAAGGAACAAAAUCACAUGUAUCUGAUCAUCUCCUCUGCUGCAGUAUCAGACUCUGCUCUGUAUUACUGUGCUCUGAGGCCCACAGUCACAGGAAACACAAGAACACUGUACAAAAACCCGUGACAGUGAGUGAAACAGAGAUA